rnacentral:lncRNA from 1 species
GAGUCCUCACUAACAGGUGGGCCGGCCCUUCCCAACCAUCUGGCAGGACGGCUCAGACCCGAGGAAACAGAAGCCCAGGGCUGCAAAGCCAGCGAGAGAGGAUGGGAAGGGCGCAGGUGCAUGCAGGUGCAUGAUCACGAGAAGCUCAAAGCUCUCCGCACGAGGCCCUCCUUGGGAUCUCGCUGCCUGUUCACACAGCUCCUCCCACGUCGCAAAGUCCAUCCACAUCCAGACCUCACAGCCACCUGCACACAAGGCAUAAUGCUGUUCCUUCCUUCAGGUGCGCUCUGGACUCUGGUAAGGGCAGCUGGUGCACUGCGGGGCUCACAGAGUUCUCUGGAGGCCAGGUCGAGGAGGAGGGCAUGGGCCACACCCCUGCUGCCCUGGGGGACUCCCCAAGGCCCCUCACUGCUGUUCAUCAUGCCUGCAACCCACAGAUGCUCACAAAAGUCUCUGGAAGGAACUGCCUUUAUCACAGCCGAUUCUUAACCACACCAGAGACUGACUCUCCUUAUUGGGAAGAACUCCUGACUCAUACUCGAACCAAUUCAAAUGCCAUAUUCCUGAUUUGAUUCGAUGGACUUUUGCCUUUCAACCAUUUCUCAAAGGUGACUUUUCCAUAAAGGAUGAAGAAUGGCUUUCCCUGGGGAAUCCUAGGAACAGACCACAGGCUCUGAAGGCAUUUCUGGGAGAUACUUUAAGGCAGUGGCUCUCUACCUUGGCUGCCUCUGAAGCCAAACAGGAAGAUUGAAAACAAAAUACAGACCCCAAACCUCACUCUCAGAAAUUCGGGUGUAGGAAGUCUAAGGCACAGGCUGGUGGAGAGAUUUUUGCUCCCCAGGUGAUUCUAAUGCAUAACCAGGGCAGGAACCGGGACCAGAAACAUACCUACUGCGCUCCCCGUCCCAGUGGGGUCAGACGCCUACCUGGACGUUAUAAAUUUUGGAAAUUUGCACAGCCUUCCUCGUCAUAGCUGACCACGAAUGGGUGGCUUGCCCAAGAUCUCAGAGCUGGAAGUACCAGCUCGGCCUCCUUCAAUACUUGUUGAUGGAGUUCCCGUCGUGGCGCAGUGGUUAACGAACCAGACUCGUAUCCAUGAGGAUGCAAGUUCAAUCCCUGCCCUUGCUCAGUGGGUUAAGGAUCAGGCAUUGCUGUGAGCUGUGGGCGGCAGCUACAGCUCCGGUCCGACCCCUAGCCUGGGGACCUCCAUAGGCUGGGGGUACGGCCCUAAAAAAGACCAAAACAAUGAAUUUUAAAAAUGAUAUUUACUGAGCACCUGUGUCCUGGGCAAUCUCCUAACAAUCAGAAGAUUUUACAAAUCUCUGGAUUUGGGGCCACCGCCACGCAACACUUGCGCAAGGCAGGGCCUACUUGUCGCUGGGUCGGUGGUGCCCUUCCUUGGACCCGCAGGCCCUCUUGGGGCUACCCCUUCUCCAUCCCACGUGGCCUGUUGACUUGACCGAUCUGGCCAUGCCACAUCCACUUUUGUGAGGCCUGCAUUACCCCACGGAUGGAGGGGAAGAACACCCACUUAGAUGCCUAUCUCAUCCCUACUGGAAAAAUCAGUCUUUGCUUUUACCUAAAGAAACGGGAGCCAGACCCGAUACACAACUGUGGAAAUCCAGCCGAUAAUGACAGAAGGGAAGCACCACACGGACCGUGUCUCUUCAUCUCAAACCGCCUUCAGAUGCCCAACCCACUGGCGUCAGAAACCUCCAGGGCCCUUCCCCUUCUGUCUCCACCCAACCUGGUUGCUCAACCAGGUCCUGAAAAUAGUCUGGAUAUCAAACCCAGAUCGGUGGCCACCAGGCAGGCAACACAGAAACCCCUGAGCACAGGAAGCACUGUUCCUACUGCCUUUCAGAAUGAUCCGUGGAGAGGCCGCAUUAAAAGGGAAAAUGCCAUCCCACCGUAGAAUGAGACUAUCAAGGGGCAGAACGCAACCCAGCGCACACACACACACGGGUGGGAACCAUGAAAUACGUUCACGUACAUCCACCGAGGGCCAGAAGGGAAUGCGAAGGAUCCACGUAAUUUUCGUUUUGUUAAUUAGCCUCUUUCAAAAAAAAAAGGGCCUUCAUGUUACCAGUUCUCUAAAAAAUGAUGCAAAAAAAUUACUCGCAACUUCCUCAUCUGCAAGAUGGAAUAACAAUGGUACCUGGAGUGCAGGAAUCUGAGAGAACUGAAAGGGUUCGUUGAGAUGCAGCACUGGCACGGAGCCAAAGACGCAAUCUUUGCGAUUUUUGUUAGUAUUCAGGCUCCGAGGCAAUUUAUCGUUCCCUUCCCCUCUUCCUUUGCCAAAAGAAGCAAAUGAAGUGGGUCUACAGACUGCCCGUGACCUCUGCCCAUGACCUCUGCCCAUGACCUUUGCCCAUGAAAUAAAGAUGACCACAUUCAGCUGUGACAUUCUUUCUAAGUAUCAACUCAUGGUUUUGAAUGCUUCCGUGACGGCAGCGUCUAUUACAGAGAAGGUAUUUUGGUCCAAUUCUCUGGCUGGAAGAGCUCUACGGAGGUGCGUGUUUAACCGUCUGUCUGCUUUUCUCUCUCCCUGCAAAGGCUUAUAAACUCCAGGAUGGGAAACGUGCCUAAUUCCUUCCUGCCCCUGCAGUGCCCAGCCCAGUAGCUGGAAGUCACUAAACAUUCACAGUAUUGUGAUAUGAAUAUAAAUCAAGAGAAA